AUUGAACGCUGGCGGCAUGCCUUACACAUGCAAGUCGAACGGUAACAGGUUAAGCUGACGAGUGGCGAACGGGUGAGUAAUGUAUCGGAACGUGCCCAGUCGUGGGGGAUAACUGCUCGAAAGAGCAGCUAAUACCGCAUACGACCUGAGGGUGAAAGCGGGGGAUCGCAAGACCUCGCGCGAUUGGAGCGGCCGAUAUCCGAUUAGGUAGUUGGUGAGGUAAAGGCUCACCAAGCCGACGAUCUGUAGCUGGUCUGAGAGGACGACCAGCCACACUGGGACUGAGACACGGCCCAGACUCCUACGGGAGGCAGCAGUGGGGAAUUUUGGACAAUGGGCGCAAGCCUGAUCCAGCCAUGCCGCGUGCGGGAAGAAGGCCUUCGGGUUGUAAACCGCUUUUGUCAGGGAAGAAAAGGUUCUGGCUAAGACCUGGGACUCAGGACGGGACCUGAAGAAGAAGCACCGGCUAACUACGU
rnacentral:rRNA from 1 species